rnacentral:rRNA from 1 species
UACGAAGGGGGCUAGCGUUGUUCGGAAUUACUGGGCGUAAAGCGUGCGCAGGCGGCUUCUCAAGUCAGGGGUGAAAUACGGCAGCUCAACUGUCGCAGUGCCUUUGAUACUGAACGGCUUGAAUACCGUUGAAGAUGGCGGAAUGAGACAAGUAGCGGUGAAAUGCAUAGAUAUGUCUCAGAACACCGAUUGCGAAGGCAGCUGUCUAAGCGGUCAUUGACGCUGAUGCACGAAAGCGUGGGGAUCAAACAGG